CUAAUCCCGGGUCAAUCUGAAUCUCGGACGGUAGAGGUGGCCUCGAAUCCCCACCCGGGGUUCAGAUGCCCGCGAUGUGCCGCGUCGUCUAUCGAUGAGUCCUAUGCAACAUUUGGCGUCUUCGCGAGGGUGUGUGCGAGGGUGGUGCGAUUUGCGGCCACUUUGCCAGACCGAUCUCCCGACCUCUCUCGGCUUCACGAGAGGAGGACUCCGCUACCUCGCUCGUCCGAUCUGGGGCUCCCGCCAUCGCAGCGUGGUCAGUGCUUUUGGGGCAGCGUGAGUGAGUGAGUGGGCCACGGCCAAUGUGAAACGCUUCGUCGAAUUGCGGCGAUGGUUUAUGAUCCUGUAUGAUGGGGUUGCCAGGCGGCUGCCGAUCUCUGGAUGCAGGAGGAGAAGUUUCAUCGUCUAGCGUGGGCCUGGAAACUAAAACUCGCAAGCUGGAAUGAGGAGCUUGAGCCGAAGAGAUGGGGAGUGGGUUUCAGUGGUUAGCGUGAGGUGCAAGCGGACUUGGAGUUUCCUACGGAGUUGACGCGGGAAAUGUAUUACAUCGGAAGUGAGUUGAUAUGGAUCCACGCUGUGCAGGAGCAGGGGGCGUUAGUGCAUUAUUGCAAGGCGUCAAUAAGUGCAAUAUUUUGUACAUGGUUGUGAGUUUAUGUCGAAAUGUGAAAACUGCAAAGGGGAGUUGAUGAAGGGCCAUUAGAAACGAGGACGGUGCUUAAACUGUGGCUUAAGUUUUAAUAAAUUGAAGACUAACCUUGAGACCAUCGUGUCCGAUUGCAUACA